UGCUGUAUGAGAUAUUCACCAUUGGAGGCAUUCCCUACCCGGGCUGGUCAGAAGCUAGGACAAUAGCAGAAUUGCGGAUUGGUUAUCGCAUGCCGAAGCCCCCACACAUCGACAGCAGUCUAUAUCAUUUGAUGAGCACUUGUUGGCAAGAAGACCCUAUCUUCCGCCCACAAUUUCUUCAAAUUCGCAAAAAGUUGCGCCAAUUUAUCGAAAACGAGUUAUACCUUGGGCUGUUGGACCAUUCGAAGUACGAUGGAUCGAAAUACGCAAAUGUUGAAGACCUGGUUGAAACUGUUGAGUCCCAAUCAAAAAAUAAGUGGUAAAGUCUGAAGCAGUGAGGAAUUAACCGGUUGAUAUGACCCGACGUUAUCAAAUAAAUAGAUAAAUUAGUUAAUUAAUUAAAAAGUGAAGUUGAAUAACAUGGAACAGUUAAGCUUGGCAGUGUUUUUUAUUGGAGCGGUUUUCACUUGACUGUCAAAAAGCAAAACCAUAGCAAUUACAGGGCCAAUCACAAGCGCAAGCUAACUACCAUUUUCAGUCAAUUAUGAACCCAUAGAAUUCAUGGAGUAAUUUACUUGUUUCCACAAACCAACGAGGAGCAAUAGUAAAACCGAUCACCUCAGAUAGGGUUAAAAAACGCGAGAUGACAAAACGAGGCACAAACCAAAACCAGUGCCACACUUAGUUUUACCAAUUGAGUUAAUUUGCUUGUUAAAGAAACACCAAGAGUUUGCUUAUUUCUAACUAGUAGAGUAAUUAAUUACUGGUCAUUUUUACGAGCAAACGAAUUUACUAACACCAACUAAAACCAAAGCCAAUGAAAAGCGUUGAUUACAUUCCACAGUCAUUUGAAAACCGCUCUAUUAGAGAGGUAAAUUAUUCACUAAUCGCUCUACACAAAGAAA